CAGUCUCUGCCACUGAUAAAAGGUACCCAUGAGUGUUCACAAGACAUCAGCAAGGCUGGCAUACUACAGAACAGUGUAUGUGAAGAAGAACAUGUUCUCCGACCAUUCUCAAGGGAAUCCAGUGGUGCUAUGACAAAGACCAAACAGACAUUAACAUAUGUAACAGAAAGAACAUCAUCUUCUAGCUCAAUUUCCAUUGGGCACCGCGUUCCAUUGACGUUUGUUCAUUCUAACGAUGGUAGGGGUACCAUUACGGAUGUCAUCAGUAAACUGAAUGAAAUCUGCAUAUCUACCUCCGACAGUGUGAAACCGGAUACUCCACAAUUGUUCUCUGGACUUGUAAGACUAAUGAAGGCUUUAGAAAGUGAUGAACUGGAACAGAUUUACAGAAAAGUGAAAGGAACCAGAUUCUGUGCAUCUAAUCAAAAGAGAGUUGAAAAAUUCUUCCUUGAUGCCAUUCCAAUGCUUGGAACAAAAGCUUCACUGAGAUUGAUUACUAACUUGAUCAACAAAAAAGAAGUUCGUGGAAUCGAAGCAAAUAUGUGGCUAACGACAUUAUCGUUCAUCAAAGAUCCAAC